rnacentral:rRNA from 1 species
UACAGAGGGGGCAAGCGUUAUUCGGAAUUAUUGGGCGUAAAGGGCGCGUAGGCGGCCUGCUAAGUCGGACGUGAAAUCCCUCGGCUCAACCGAGGAACUGCGUCCGAUACUGGUGGGCUUGAAUCCGGGAGAGGGAUGUGGAAUUCCAGGUGUAGCGGUGAAAUGCGUAGAUAUCUGGAGGAACACCGGUGGCGAAGGCGGCAUCCUGGACCGGUAUUGACGCUGAGGCGCGAAAGCUAGGGGAGCAAACGGG